GACAGUGUAGCCUAGUGGCUAAAGCCCUGGACUGGGACUCAGGAGAGGUGGGUUCUAGUCUCACCUCUGCCA
rnacentral:tRNA from 1 species